rnacentral:rRNA from 1 species
CACGUAGUUAGCCGGGGCUUCUUAGUCAGGUACCGUCAUUUUCUUUCCUGCUGAUAGAGCUUUACGUACUGAAAUACUUCUUCACUCACGCGGCGUCGCUGGAUCAGGGUUUCCCCCAUUGUCCAAUAUUCCCCACUGCUGCCUCCCGUAGGAGUUUGGGCCGUGUCUCAGUCCCAAUGUGGCCGUCCACCCUCUCAGGCCGGCUACUGAUCGUCGCCUUGGGUCGGGCCGUUACCCCGCCAACCAGCUAAUCAGACGCGGGCCCAUCCCAUACCACCGGUAGUUUUCACACACCUUCAUGCGAAGCUGUGCGCUUAUGUCGGUUUAGCACCUUGUUUCCGAGGUCGUUACGUCCCCCGGUAGUGGGGCAGGGUUCGCCCACGGUCGUUACUCCACCCGUCCGACCUAACCUAACUUACUACUUCCCGUUAGUC